CGGAGCUAACGCGUUAAAUCGACCGCCUGGGGAGUACGGCCGCAAGGUUAAAACUCAAAUGAAUUGACGGGGGCCCGCACAAGCGGUGGAGCAUGUGGUUUAAUUCGAUGCAACGCGAAGAACCUUACCUACUCUUGACAUCCAGAGAAUUAGCUAGAGAUGCUUGGGUGCCUUCGGGAACUCUGAGACAGGUGCUGCAUGGCUGUCGUCAGCUCGUGUUGUGAAAUGUUGGGUUAAGUCCCGCAACGAGCGCAACCCUUAUCCUUUGUUGCCAGCGAUUCGGUCGGGAACUCAAAGGAGACUGCCGGUGAUAAACCGGAGGAAGGUGGGGAUGACGUCAAGUCAUCAUGGCCCUUACGAGUAGGGCUACACACGUGCUACAAUGGCGUAUACAAAGAGAAGCGACCUCGCGAGAGCAAGCGGAACUCAUAAAGUACGUCGUAGUCCGGAUUGGAGUCUGCAACUCGACUCCAUGAAGUCGGAAUCGCUAGUAAUCGUAGAUCAGAAUGCUACGGUGAAUACGUUCCCGGGCCUUGUACACACCGCCCGUCACACCAUGGGAGUGGGUUGCAAAAGAAGUAGGUAGCUUAACCUUCGGGAGGGCGCUUACCACUUUGUGAUUCAUGACUGGGGUGAAGUCGUAACAAGGUAACCGUAGGGGAACCUGCGGUUG
rnacentral:rRNA from 1 species